rnacentral:rRNA from 1 species
CGGACGGGGGAGUAAUGUCUGGGAAACUGCCUGAUGGAGGGGGGUAACUACUGGAAACGGUAGCUAAUACCGCAUAACGUCGCAAGACCAAAGAGGGGGACCUUAGGGCCUCUUGCCAUCGGAUGUGCCCAGAUGGGAUUAGCUAGUAGGUGGGGUAACGGCUCACCUAGGCGACGAUCCCUAGCUGGUCUGAGAGGAUGACCAGCCACACUGGAACUGAGACGCGGUCCAG